UACAGAGACUGCAAGCGUUAUUCGGAUUCACUGGGCGUAAAGGGUGCGCAGGCGGUUGUGUGUGUCAGGUGUGAAAGCCCGGGGCUUAACCCCGGAAUUGCGCCUGAAACUACAUGACUAGAGCAUUGGAGAGGGUAGCGGAAUUCACGGUGUAGCAGUGAAAUGCGUAGAUAUCGUGAGGAACACCAGAGGCGAAGGCGGCGACCUGGACAGAUACUGACACUCAACUGCGAAAGCGUGGGGAGCAAACAGG
rnacentral:rRNA from 1 species